CGGAUAUGACGUCAUUGUUGCUGACUACGGCUGCACCAGUUCUACUAUUUUGACUGCUGAAAGACUCCAUAUUUAAAGUAACGCCCAACGGUCACUGACUUGAUGAGCUCUGGGCAGCGAAAGGCCGGCGCUUCUCAGACACUCUACGCUGCCCCUGAAAGGAGUCUGUGGCCGGGAGACUCCGAUGAAGGUCAAAGCCUUCUGUCACAGCUGCAGGACACCCCGUCUGCAGUGCAGAGGCCUCCCGUUAGACAGCAGAGAGCCUGAGCUGCCCAGGCACUGAGUACAGGACAUUAAGCCCGGGCCUGAUCCUGCUGCACACCUCUGGCCAAACAGAGCAGCGGACCGGCUCGCUGUGUCACUACUCUCCGCCCUCACGUUCUAGACAGCAAAAAUAAAUAAAUAAAUAAAAACCGCAGCAGAGUCUUAUGAGGACAGACAGAUGAGUGUUUGAGAGCGAAGGAGGAGGGGGGAGAGAGAGAGAGAGAGAGAGAGAGAGAGCGAGAGAGAGAUAAAUCUGUUAAGCAUACAGUACCUAGUCAUAACAUCUAUGGUCCAGCGUUCAGCUGACCAGUUCUAUGUGGCUGG